AAAUAUAUUUACAUAUCUAAGACAACAACCACCUAAAUGAAAAUAAGAAAUUAAUCAAAAUUUUAAUAUAUAGAAUAAAAAAUAUUACAGUUGAAUUCAUAGAUGCAAUCCAAUUUACCCAAAUGAUAACUAAAUCUACUGAAAAACAACAAUACCAAUUAGAUAUAACAUAUAUAAAAUCAUAUGUAUAAUUAAAGUAAUACAAUAAUAUUAAUAUAAAUGAUGCAUAUAAAUUAUAAAUUAAUUUAAAAUUAAAAGUAAGUAGCAAUCAAUUAUUAUAAUAUAUUUACUUAAGAAAUAUUUAUAUCUGUGCAUGAGCACGGGAAAAUCACCUAGUAUUAUUAUAUAUUUGGUGAGGCUUUUGAAGAAUUUGUUUCUUGCACUUGGAUUAAUUUUGUAUUCAUUAAGGAUACUCAUAUUAUUGACUUUUGUGAGAAUUAACAUGAGCGCAAUCGUAAAAAACUGAUUUAUCAAAUAAUACGAUAGAGAUAUGAGAUGCAAUUUCUCAUAAAAUAAUUAAAAUACUUUUCUUUUUCUAAAGUUUCCCCUAGUUUUAUUGACAGCAUAUUUCCUUAUAAUUAUCUACAGACUACAGUUUAACUUAAAAUGUAUUAAAGAGAUAACAACUAUGACAGGAAAAGAAAGGAGACCUAACUUUAUUUAUAAAUUAUAAUCUAAAGAGAGAGAAAACAAAGGAGGGUAAGCUUAGACCACCUCCAAUGGACGUUUUUAGAGGGGAUUCUUAAAAAAAAACCGAAAAAAGAAAUGAAAAAAAGAAAAAGGCAAGAGAAUCGGUGUCUAACUAAGGAGUUUUGGAACCGCUGAGCACCCCAUACGUGCCCUUUUUGUAUUGGUCGAUUCCUUCAUCUUCUUUCUAUACUCUUCGAACCCUUCCUCUGAUCUCCACCGUUCCGUCUCCAAUCUUCGAUUCUGAUUGUCAGCACCGCCGUGAGAUUGGACCUUCAUGCACCUGAGACUUCGCUGAACUCCCCACUUUAAGUCUGGGAGGGUGAAGCUGUGACGAGUCUUGCGUCUCUCACGUCCCUCUCUCUUUGAGAUUAGCUUUGACUCUGUAACCUCCUCUCUUUGUCUCUCUUCUCCUCGUCUUCUCAACGAUUGUUCGAGCCGCCACCACUGAUGUCCAAUACUGUGAGGAGAAUGCAGAGUAUGAAUUAAAAGUGAAAGAGGUUAAUAUAGCGCCUAAUCCUAUAGCUCGAGGCGAGCCAGCUACCUUUACCAUCUCUGCCAACACAGGUUGCUUCUUUUUUUACUUUACAUUGAUACCAAUGAAAGAUGGUUCCUUUGUGAUGAUGAUGAAUGUGUUAGUUAUGAACUUAUGAUAGAGAGAGACAAUGUGAUUACUGGUUUUGAGGGUUGUAGGCUCUUACUAGAUUCUCAAGGAGUAUGAACAAUUCGUUUAUGAUAUGUGUUUUUUCUUUUAAAUAAAAGGGCGUGGGAUUACGGAUGAUUGAAGUUACCACUACAAGAAAACACAACUAUAGCGAAGAAAAAUAACGAUGAAAUUUAAUCCUCGUAAAUUUACGUCUACUUUACGAGUAUCUUACGAGGAAAUUAAAAAGCAACGUUAGUUCGUCGUAAAAUAAACGAUUUUCUCGUAAAAAGGACGUAACAUAACUUGGUUUUUAGGAGGAAAAAUAGUUUCCUCGUAAACUCGACGUCGAGUUUAUGAGAUAGAGCAUAUUCUCAAAACGUGGGAAACCUUUCUUUUUUUUGACGUGGGAAACCUAAAAUAUUUAAUGUCAAUUCCAAAUAAUUUGGAGCCAAAACCAAAACAUGGUUAUUUAGUUUUGUUUAAUUUUUGGUUUUGUAGUUUAAUUAAUUGAUUUGCUUGAUAGAGAUAGAUUAAUUUUGUGUACGUAUUCAAUGGUUAUAUGUUUUUUAAAAAUAAAUAUAUUCUUAAUCAAUGAUUAUAUGUUGGUGUAAUAGUUUAAUAUUUAAAAUUGUAUGAUAUUUUUUAAAGAUUAAGACAUAAUUUAUGAUUUAGAGUUUAGGGUAUAGGGUUUCAUGUACAUGUUUAAAGUUAAGGUUUGUUAAAAGGAUUUGUGAUAUAAUUUAUAUGACUUAAAGUUAUAAGUUCAAGUAUAUAGAGUUAGGAUAUAGAAUUUGGAGUUUAGGGUAUACGAUUUCAAGUUUGUUUUAAUGUUUGCUGUUAGGAUUUAUAAAAUAUUAAAUUUGGUGGUUAAUAAUAUUAUACGUAGUGAAUUCAAUUUAUAUAUUUUUUAACUAAAUUUAUUAAAUUUUAUAUGUAACUUUUUAAAAUAUUUUUAUAUAUAAUUAGUGAUUAUAUUUUGGUUAUUAUGAUUUUAACUUCAAUGAUUUAAAGUGUCGAGGGUUAUCUUUAUUAUUUAGGGUUUGGAGUUUGGGGAAUACAUUUUGAGGUUCAGAUAUAAAGUAUGAGGUUAAAGUUUAGAUUAUAAUGUUAUAAUUUUGUAUGAGUGUUAGAUAUUAGUUUUACGCAUAUUAUAGCAAUUGUAAUUUAUCACUUAAAGUGUAAGGUUAAUCUUUAUGAUUUAAUGAUUAGAGUUUGGGGUUUCAAUUAUAGAUGUGAGAGUAAUUUGAAAAGAUAAAAUUUUGAGUCUGAAUUUUAAAGCAAUAUCGUUUUUAAGAGGCGGACCUACGUUGUCCAUUAGGGUGUCAACUGACACAGGUUAAAAAUAAAUUUUAGUGUUUUCAUCAUGUUCAAGAAAAGAUGAAGCAGGUCAGUUGGUUGCGUACCCUUAUAUUCUGACACACCAAAUCGCUAGUUCAAAUCCUGGAAGGAUGCUUUUUGCUUAACUUUUUUUAAUUAUUAGUAUUGGGCCCAAACCAAAUUUUAAUGACCAACCUUAAAAAUAAACAUGGGGAUUGCAGGCUGCAACUCGCCUGCAUGAAGCCGGAAUCGC